rnacentral:tRNA from 1 species
GCCGAGGUGGCGGAACUGGCAGACGCGGGGGACUUAAAAUCCCCUGGCCGCAAGGCUGUGUGGGUUCAAGUCCCACCCUCGGCACCA